CUUCCAACUAGUGUUGUUCAAGAGUCAACUGCACAUUGUAAGUGGAGAAGUGGACUGAAAACAUAGUCUCCUGGAGAGUCAUCUGUGGAAAUCCUUCUUCUGGGAAGAUGUACACGGUGUAUUUGUACCCAGAGGCACCCAUCACAGCUGCGUUGGAGAGAGGCAUGUGCAAAGGGAAGCCAUUUCAAUCAAAAUUGGGAUCACCGAUUAAAAUUUAUUGUGCAUUGUAGCUUGAGAGAUUUGAGGAAAGCAAUCUUUUUCUUUUUAGAAAUCUUUGGUUUUAGUGUAACAAGAACCUCCCCACCUUCCUGUGUGCCACAUACUCUUUACUGUCAUUGUAAAUGGCUAGAUAGUAAUGGGCUGAGGAAAAUGUUCUGGUUUUUAGGACCAGUCAAAUGAACUGCUCCAUCCAGUAUUUAGGAGCUGGAGGUCUCUGGUUCUGCUGGCUGGUAUACUUAUCUAUGAUGACCAUUGCAUUUCUUUCAUUGCCUG
rnacentral:lncRNA from 10 species